GACUCCGGAACUGGAAACGAAGAGACUUUCUGCCUCCAGUUUUCCGGACCCAAUUAGAUGUUGUACCCUGUCUGGUUACUGUGGUAACAGGUGGAGCGGUUUGUCCCGGAACCAAGAGAAGAGGUUCACUAUCAAUCAUGGAGAUAUCCUCAAAGGGCCUGUUCACCCAAGUUACUCAACUGUGGAACCUCCUAGAUGAUCUUGCUGAAAGUGACCCUGAGGGCUAUAAGAAGUUCAUUCAACAGCAAUUGAAAGAGGGGAAACAGUUCUGUGCUGCCCCAGAACCACAUCUCUGUCUACAGACCAAGAUCCUAAAACCAAAAGAAAAAAUACUUUUUAUCAACCUAUGUCAGUGGAAAAGGAUCCCAGUUCCGAAAUCAGCCACUCAUCCAGUACCUCUAAGUGUUGGCAAACCUGAAGAUAUGACUGAGUCAUCAGAUGCUUACACAGUCAUCGAUGUUGCCUAUAAUCCUAAUGUUCUUCAGGCAGCAGAAAAGAACCAAGUGAAAAAAGAUCAGUUAAUACAGAUGACCAUGAAAUGCAUUGAGAAGCAACUACAGCUCACUCUCUCACACUCUUACCAUAUUACCAAAUUUAAAAUAAAAGGGAGCAUUGAAAGAAUGGAACAAAAUCUAAUGGGAAUCCAAACUGAUCCCACAGAUUUAAGAGAGAAAAUGAGAAACAAACUAACUCUUGAACAAAGCAGUACUGUGAACAAUCCAGAUCACAUUCCUCAACUAUUACUACCAGAAAAGCAAGUUUCAGGCAAAGCAGAGUGUCUGAUAGAAGAGAUUUCCAGCACUGAAAUCCAAGUGGAGAUGCAGAUACCAGCCUAUGAAUUAAAAAUUGUGCAGGAUCAAAAUGAGAAACCUCUGAGAAUUGAGCUGAAAGUUGAAUUACCUGGUAUUAAUUCAGUCUCUCUCUGUGACCUUAAUGUUUCUGAGAGACAGAGUCUCACUUUAUGGCCCUCGGUAGAGUGCCAUGGCAUCACACAGCUCACAGCAACCUCCAACUCCUGGGCUUAAGCAACUCUCUUGCCUCAGCCUCCCGAGUAGCUGGGACUACAGGCACCCGCCACAACGCCCAGCUAUUUCUUGGUUGCAGUUCAGCCGGGGCCGGCUCUUUUGCUGUUACUUUCUCCACUGAAGAAAUCUCUGAAUCCCUCAAAUUCACCCAGGAGGGCUGGAAUCAGCUUCUUUCAGACCUGUGGUAAUGUUGAUGUUUUGAUCUCCAAAUGAAUCACAAAUUAUUUUUUUUCAAACAGUCUUAACUCUGUCACCCCAGGUAGAAUGCCAGAAGUGUCAUCAGAGCUCAAACUUCAACCUCAAACUCCUGGCCUCAAGCCACCCUCCUGCCUCACACUUCUAAAUAGCUCAAACUGUAGGUAUGCCACCACAUCCAGCUAAUUUUUUCUACUUUUGAUAAAGAUGGGGUCUGAGUCUUGCUCUUGCUCAGGCUGGUCCUGAACUCCUAACUCCACUUCCCAUCUCAGCUUCACAGUGUGCUAGAAUUAUAAAUAUGAGCCACCACACACAGCCCACAAAUGUUCUUAAUGGCAUCUAGAAUAAUAAAUCCUUUCAAGGUUUUCUUUUCUUUUUUUUUUUUUUUGUGGUUUUUGGCCAGAGCUAGGUUUGAACUCACCACCUCUGGCAUAUGGGGCCGGUGACCUACUCCUUUGAGCCACAGGCACUGCCACCUUUCAAGGUUUUCAAUAUACUGUAUUUUGCUAAGAUCCAUCAAAGAAGCCAUUAUCUAUGGCAGCUAUAGUUUUAUAAAAUGCAUUUCUUAAAUAAUAACACUUGAAAGUUAAAAUUAGGAUGGAGCUGGAACAUAUUCUUCUUAGUAAAGUAUCUCAAGAAUGGAAGAAAAAGUAUCCCAUGUACUCAGCCCUACUAUGAAACUAAUUUAUGGCUUUCAUAUGAAAGCUAUA